rnacentral:rRNA from 1 species
GACGAACGCUGGCGGCGUGCCUAAUACAUGCAAGUAGGACGCAGUUGCGAACGGGUGAGUAACGCGUAGGUAACUACCUAUUAGAGGGGGAUAACUAUUGGAAACGAUAGCUCAUACCGCAUACUAGUAGAUGGACCUGCGUUGUAUUAGCUAGUAGGUAGGGUAAUGGCCUACCUAGGCAACGCUACAUAGCCGAACCGCAGGGGGGGUCGGCCACACUGGGACUGGGACACGGCCCAGACUCCUACGGGAGGCAGCAGUAGGGAAACAUCGGACAAGGGGGGAACGCUGGCCGAGCAACGCCGCGGGGGUGAAGAAGGUUUUCGGGUCGUAAAGCUCUGUUGUUAAGGGAGCGGUACUUAACGAGAAAGGGACGGCUAACUACGUGCCAGCAGCCGCGGUAAUUC